UACGGAGGGUGCGAGCGUUAAUCGGAAUUACUGGGCGUAAAGGGUGCGUAGGUGGUUUGGUAAGUUAUCUGUGAAAUCCCUGGGCUUAACCUGGGCAGGUCAGAUAAUACUGCUGAACUCGAGUAUGGGAGAGGGUAGUGGAAUUUCCGGUGUAGCGGUGAAAUGCGUAGAGAUCGGAAGGAACACCAGUGGCGAAGGCGGCUACCUGGCCUAAUACUGACACUGAGGCACGAAAGCGUGGGGAGCAAACAGG
rnacentral:rRNA from 1 species